CGGGGAGGUAGUGACGAAAAAUAACGAUACGGGACUCAUCCGAGGCCCCGUAAUCGGAAUGAGUACACUUUAAAUCCUUUAACGAGGACCAAUUGGAGGGCAAGUCUGGUGCCAGCAGCCGCGGUAAUUCCAGCUCCAAUAGCGUAUAUUAAAGUUGUUGCGGUUAAAAAGCUCGUAGUUGAAUCUGUGUGUCACAGUGUCGGUUCAUCGCUCGCGGUGUUUAACUGGCAUUAUGUGGUACGUCCUACCGGUGGGCUUAGCCUCUUGGGGCGGUCCAACUAAUAUCCCAUCGCGGUGCUCUUCACUGAGUGUCGAGGUGGGCCGGUACGUUUACUUUGAACAAAUUAGAGUGCUCAAAGCAGGCUACCUUUGCCUGAAUAUUGUGUGCAUGGAAUAAUGGAAUAGGACCUCGGUUCUAUUUUGUUGGUUUUCGGAACCCCGAGGUAAUGAUUAAUAGGGACAGAUGGGGGCAUUCGUAUUGCGACGUUAGAGGUGAAAUUCUUGGAUCGUCGCAAGACGGACAGAAGCGAAAGCAUUUGCCAAAAAUGUUUUCAUUAAUCAAGAACGAAAGUUAGAGGUUCGAAGGCGAUCAGAUACCGCCCUAGUUCUAACCAUAAACGAUGCCAGCUAGCGAUCCGCCGAAGUUCCUCCGAUGACUCGGCGGGCAGCUUCCGGGAAACCAAAGCUUUUGGGUUCCGGGGGAAGUAUGGUUGCAAAGCUGAAACUUAAAGGAAUUGACGGAAGGGCACCACCAGGAGUGGAGCCUGCGGCUUAAUUUGACUC
rnacentral:rRNA from 1 species